UCAGCCCUCGCACGACCCUGCCUCCCAAUCCCCGUCUCCACCUCCUGCCUCGUGCGCCGCCGUGCGCCGACACCGCCCACCACGCCGGUACGUCUACCCCUGCACGACCGGCCACACGCCGACGACGCUCGAGUGCACCUUCUUGAUCAAGGCAACGCGACGGCUCGAGCGGUUGGGGGCAGCACGGCGGCUCGAUGCGGAACGGCGGCGGCGGCGGCUGGAGCUUGCAGGGGCUGGGGAGGCUGAUUCGAAGGCGGGCGGCGAGGCGGGGGAACGGUGAGGAAGGCCGGAGCGAGGGAUCCGGCGACCUAGGCAGGAGCUCGCCGGAGCCGGGCGAUGGCGGACGGGCGCGCGAGGCAGAGGGAUCCGAUGCGGCGGUUCGAAGUCCUUGCAGGCAAGGGCGGACCUCCAUGGCUGGCAGGGGGGCUCCAAGGCCAUGGCGGGGCUUCGGUUUUCCCUGGUAUAGAAAAGAGAAACAGAAGAGGAUUCAGGGAAAAGAAGAACGGGGAUUCAGGGAGAAGAAGAACGGUGGAAGAAGGAUGGUUGGCCUCCUCGGCGCAUGCCAUACGAUCUAAAGGUUCAUAUCAAACAAGGCAACCACAACAGUACAGCCAUGAUAAUCUCAUGGGUGACAACAGUCAGAACCUGGAUCGAGCACUGUGUUUUACGGGACUUCAGAAGAUAAUCUCAAUUGUUCUGCAAAGGGAAAGCAUUCGCGGUAUACGUUCUACAAAUAUACCUUGGGAUACAUUCAUCAUUGUACAAUCAAGAACCUGAAGUUUGACACAAAGUAUUACUAAGCCGUUGGAACUGAAGAGACGCUGAAAAAGAUUUGGUUUAGGACCCCUCCGAAAAGUGGCCCAGAUGUUCCAUAUACAUUUGGUCUGAUAGGUGAUCUCGGUCAGAGUUUCGACUCCAAUGUCACGCUCGCUCAUUAUGAGUCCAAAUAGUAUGAUGUAAUCCUCUAAGCAUGGUUGACAUACUUGCUUUGUCAUAUUUACUAUCAUAAAUUUCUUUCAAUGGGGUCUCUGGAAAUACUGUUUUCUAUGUGUUCCCAUUGGUGGCUGAAUAAUUUGUCACUUUUUCAAUGGGAUAUAUUUGUUGCUAAUGGUCAUUUAUAAAGAUUUAUAAAGCAUCCAUCUGUGAAUGAAUUUCUGAAUAUUACCAUAAUGUGUAUGAUAAUGGUGGAACACUUAGAUUGUGGUUCAUGACAAAACACUUGUGAUGAUGUUGUUCAACUAUUGUAUGGCAAUUCCAGAUUGUGUGUUUACGUAUGCCUAGCCAACCUUGGUUCAUGAAGCUUUAGAAAUUAGAAGCAUCAUCUUGUUUCAGAAGGUAAAGAAAGAAGGUGUGGUGAUACUUCUUCUCCUCCCGUUGCAACGCAUCCGGAGCUCGAGCGGGCCGAUUUGCGCAGAGGCUGAGGAUGGGAUGGUGUGCUGCGCUCGAGACGAGAGGGCUCGAUUAAGGGGAUUGGAGGGUGGCGCCGGCGGGCUCGCGGACGGGGAUGGAGAGGGCGGGUGCCAGCAAGAUCGAGCCGGGGAUGGAGAGGGCGGGGGUCGGCGAGCUGGAGGUUGAGGAUGGGAAGAGGUGGCGCUGCCGGCGGCCACGAGCGGAGGAGGGCACGCAGCUUCUCUCGCCAUGUGUAGAUACAGUACUAUUUUACAGGCGCAGACAGGAAGGCAGUACAUUGUUCUUGCGGUACGCUGACGCAUUUGAUUUGCCCGUGCCAUCUAGGAAGGGCUGGUUCUACUGCUAGAUGUUGGCCCGUCGAUGCACUGGGAGCUGCAGGAAGUCGAGAAUGUCUCCACCACCCUUGUGCGCAAGAAGGCAAGCAACACGAGGAGCGGCGAUGGCCGCUGCCUGAGCCUGGCGUUCUUUUUGUUGAGAAUCCCUGAGCCCGGUGGUGGUUAUCGCGAGAACCAGGACAACGGAAGCCAGGUGGCAUCACUGGUCCGUGUAAAACAGGUUUAAACUUGGUGAAGCCAUUGAACAACACUCUUGCUUUCUUCUGUUAGGACCCUUUAUCAACCAUUGAGCCACGCCAAGUUUUUGAGAUGGUAAUGAAGCCUGCCACAUUAAAUUUGUCCCUCCCCUUGGUUCUUUGUUAUUUAUUCUUUUGAAUUCCUGAAAUUUCUCUCCAAAAUAAGUCUUUCUUUGCCAGAAGAUUGAACUGUUUCUUUUCAGCUACGAUCAUCUAAUCUCAUAUGUGUGUUCGUUUGAACUUUAUUUACUCUUUUGACUGUUGAUUUGGUUUGCUUUGCCUGAAGAUUGAACUAUUUCUUUUACUGUUGAUUUAUGAACUCCAAGUACUGAUGUGCAUAAUUAAGCAUCUGUUCAUCAGGUGUCAUUGUAUAUGGACAAGUCUGCAGGGGUUUGCCAGUCGGACUUCCAUGAUUGCAAAUUGUCGUUCCUGCAACUUAUAUGUGAUCAUGAUCUUUUUGUUGAGAUGACUGGUAUGUAUCCCGCUGUAAAUUCAUGGACUACCAACCUAGGGAACUAUAAAUAUUCCGGUUUGCCAAACUAUUUUAAUAGACCAGCAAUAUUGUUCAGAGACUUCGGUCCUCCUCCACAGCGGGAUGCGACCUCCCUGGAGCAGCGGGUCAGGCGCAUCGUCGGAGGGGGAGAAGAGCUUGUUAUCUACAUGACUACAUCAAUGUUGAGUGAACCGCCGUCGAACUGAAGCGCGCCUCCUAUAGCUGCGACCCUGUGUUGGCCCUGCCCGCGUACGUCCGCUAAGACCAGAAACAGAGCAGGAAAGGAGUUCAAAUGACCUCUCUCUAUUUUUCCUCCCUCUGGGAGGGAGUUGCCAAAGCAGUUAAGGCAUGCGGAGGUUUGAAAGUUGCGCAGGAGGCGGCCUAAGGGUGGGACGACGUACAAUCCCUCUACUGUCAUUUUAUACUCUGAUUUUUUUGCUGCAUGCACAGGUGUUUCAGGCAGAAACAGUAAUAGCAUCGACUAGGAGGAGCAAGACAAGAAGCAGCGACAGCUACCAUUGCUGGCUAAGCUAUCUGCUACGAUGCCCGCCUCUCUUUGCAACGGCCAAAGCACACAACAAUCCAUAUUUUGGUGAAUUUUUUCUCCCCACUUUGGUGACUUGGGACGGGUUGUGGGCAACAGCAGUUUGAAAGAAUCGGUAGUAGAAACGUGAAUGUUAAAGCUAAUGGGCUAAAAACUAUAAGGAUACUUGAUUUGUUUCCAUGUCUACCUUUCAGUAUUCAGCCUUGCGAGAAAAUGUGCCUCGGGAUAGAAGCUUGACAUAGGUGUGGCCUUGAAUGCCAGGAUUUUAUGAGUAUCCUGACUCUUCUGUUCUCAUUACAGAAUCAGAAUUCAAAAGAUCAAUGUACUAAUGCAUUUCAAGUUUUCAA